rnacentral:rRNA from 1 species
CGAACCCUGCCAAGGCGGCCGCGAAAUUCCACUAGGUGAAUUAACGGGGGCGCAGCAAGGCGCGGAAAAACNUGUAACCAAAUGCGGGGGCAACCGUGAAUAAGGGGAACCCUCGAGUGCCUGUAAAUGCAGGCUGUUCAGGUGCCUAAUACACACCUGAAGAAAGGGCCGGGCAAGACCGGUGCCAGCCGCCGCGGUAAUACCGGCGGCUCGAGUGGUGGCCGCUUUUAUUGGGCUUAAAGCGUUCGUAGCUGGGUUGUUAAGUCUCUUGGGAAAUCUGGCGGCUUAACCGUCAGGCGUCUAAGGGAUACUGGCAAUCUUGGAACCGGGAGAGGUGAGGGGUACUUCGGGGGUAGGAGUGAAAUCCUGUAAUCCUCGAGGGACCACCUGUGGCGAAGGCGCCUCACCAGAACGGCUUCGACAGUGAGGGACGAAAGCUGGGGGAGCAAACCGGAUUAGAUACCCCGGGUAGUCCCAGCCGUAAACUAUGCGCGUUAGGUGUAUCGGUGACCACGAGUUACGAGGUGCCGAAGGGAAACCGUGAAACGUGCCGCCUGGGAAGUACGGUCGCAAGGCUGAAACUUAAAGGAAUUGGCGGGGGAGCACCACAACAGGUGGAGCCUGCGGUUUAAUUGGACUCAACGCCGGGAAGCUCACCGGAUAAGACAGCAGAAUGAUUGCCGGGCUGAAGACUCUGCAUGACUAGCUGAGAGGAGGUGCAUGGCCGUCGUCAGUUCGUACUGUGAAGCAUCCUGUUAAGUCAGGCAACGAGCAAGACCCACGCCAACAGUUGCCAGCAUGGUCUCCGGACUGAUGGGGACACUGUUGGUACCGCCUCUGCUAAAGAGGAGUGAAGGAAUGGGCACACGGUAGGUCAGCAUAGCCCCGAAUUAUCCGGGCUACAACGCGGGUACCAUGGGCCAGGACCAAAUGGGCCAUUNGGACACCGAAAGGUGAAGGCAAAUCUCCUAAACCUGUCCUUAGUUCGGAUUGUGGGCUGCAACUCGCCCACAUGAAGCUGGAAUCUGUAGUAAUCGCGUUUCAAAAUAACGCGGUGAAUUUGUCCCUGCUCCUUGCACACACCGCCCGUCAAACCACCCGAGUGGGGUUUGGAUGAGGUUGCGGUUGUUGCCGCAGUCGAAUCUAGGUUCCGCAAGGGGGUAAGUCGUAACAAAGGUAGCCGUAAAUCGAAUUCCCGCGCCGCCAAGCGGCC